rfam:Aspergillus glaucus CBS 516.65 unplaced genomic scaffold ASPGLscaffold_11, whole genome shotgun sequence.
GCUCGCAUAGCUCAGUGGCAGAGCGCUUGACUUGUACGGCAAGGUCCUCGGUUCGAAACCCGAACACGGACGACUUACAAAUUAAUCAAGAGGUCGGUGGUUCAAUCCCGCCUGUGAGCA